rnacentral:rRNA from 1 species
GACGAACGCUGGCGGCGUGCUUAACACAUGCAAGUCGAACGGAAAGGCCCUGCUUUUGUGGGGUGCUCGAGUGGCGAACGGGUGAGUAACACGUGAGUAACCUGCCCUUGACUUUGGGAUAACUUCAGGAAACUGGGGCUAAUACCGGAUAGGAGCUCCUGCUGCAUGGUGGGGGUUGGAAAGUUUCGGCGGUUGGGGAUGGACUCGCGGCUUAUCAGCUUGUUGGUGGGGUAGUGGCUUACCAAGGCUUUGACGGGUAGCCGGCCUGAGAGGGUGACCGGCCACAUUGGGACUGAGAUACGGCCCAGACUCCUACGGGAGGCAGCAGUGGGGAAUAUGGACAAUGGGCGGAAGCCUGAUGCAGCAACGCCGCGUGCGGGAUGACGGCCUUCGGGUUGUAAACCGCUUUCGCCUGUGACGAAGCGUGAGUGACGGUAAUGGGUAAAGAAGCACCGGCUAACUACGUG